GGGGGUGCACCGGUUUCGAUUGGUACGAUUCGGGGCAUAGACUGCAAGUGGAGCGCCGAUCUCCUGAUUCGGCAAAAAUUUAACUGCCAACAACACUCGUGUUGCUCACGACAGUUUCGAUUACGCGCUUGCCGCGUAAUCGACGCGGACCCGUUUCUACGCCUUGAGGGGCGGGCAUCCGUGUAGCAAACAGGGCUAGGCGGUUCCUGUAUCCGGAUGUGGACACGCCGAAGUUGACCGGAAUACGGAAGGGACGUGCGGCGCGUAGCCAAGCCCUUCCCGACAAUCCGAUAUGCGCCUAAACUUGUAGACGUUUAUGUUUCACGUAUCAGGACGCGGGUUCGACUCCCGCCACCUCCAUUC
rnacentral:tmRNA from 1 species